GUUUUGCUUUUACUCCUCCUAGAAGCAAUGGAACCUUGCCUGUUCCCUGGGGGUGAGACAGAUGACUGCCCGUACAUUAGCUACCUAACAUUUUUGCUUCUCAGGACAGAAGAGUAAGGGCAAGGGGACAAGACCCAUCUCCCCAAAGCAGCUGAUCCCCACUUGCACACUACACUACCAACGAAGCUAGCCAUUUCUGGUCUCCCAUGCUGCCUUUUCUGAGCACAUGGUGAAGAUCUAUGGAAAACAUUUUGAUGAAGAGAGAGUCCUUGGAAGGUGUCAUCAGGUAUUGACCAAACAAGCCACUGUCCUGGAUUUGCCUGUUUUUCCGGUUCCAAGGCCAUUCUUCUGCCUUGAGUGGUUCCUUGAGACUCUUUAUCAUCUUGACCUUCCCAGAAGAGAGCUCCACAAAGAGCACAUCAGUUUGUGUGCUUGAACUACCGUAGAUGUUAUAUUGGUGGGCUUCGGUAAAGGAUGGUUGAAAUGCCAGAUCAGAUAUGUGCAGAUUUGUGUGAAUAUCAAAAGCCUCCUGUAUUUCUCCUCUGAUGGUAAUGUACUGAACCCUUACAAGACCUUUCACAUCAUUAAUGCUGACAAGGUAGUGGCCAUCUGGAGAGACAUAUGGAGUGCCCGUCACAUCACUAUUGAACCCAAUGACUGAGUCAGUUACACCGUCCACCAUGACCUGUGGGGAAACUGCUCCGGUGCUGUCAGGCUUGCAGCCAAUGAAGUAGUAGCCUCCCAAGUGUGUAUAUGCCAAUGACUGAGGAACGCACUUAUAGUCCUUCAAGUUAAUUGUCUUGAUGUAUGACAUGGUUUCAAGAUCAAUUUUUUGUAGUGCAGCUUCAUCUUUAUGAAGAAUAAAUCCAAACCUGAAAAAAAUGAAAAUCAGAGUUAGACAGGAAACAAUGGAGUUUUAGCCACAAGAAAAAAAACUAGAUACAGGUGGAAAGGUCCAUCACAAGCCCAGGCUCUGAUUGUCAGGCGAGGCAGCAAUUUGUGUUACAAUUGUGCUAGAAUUAAUCUGUGGAUUGUGCCACUCCUAGGUCAUUCUUUCAUUACAUUCAAAUCAUCAUGACUCAUGCUGUAGAAAGAAAAAUAAUUAAAAGCAUACAUCUAGUUAAUUGCAGCAACAAAUUUUGCUUUUAACAUAGUGGAAAGAAGAAGUACACAUUAUUCUGUAAGUCUCUAGACCAUGCGAUAUUAAAUAAGCUUGGUUAACUAUUGCCAAACCCAGCAAGAGUAAAAGGCUUGAAUAUAUAUUGGUUUCACUCAUUUCAUUUACUUCUUAUAUUGUUUUGUGACCAUUAAAUAAAUCUGACACUCAUCAUUAUUUAGAUAAAUUUAGGUAUAACAUUUUUCAACCUUUCGAUGUUUAUAUUGUUAUUUUUAAUGAUAUGCCUGCAUUUUAUUUGUUAUCCUAUACUGAAUAAUGAAGAACUUUAUUUUUAUAUUAAAGCCAAUUAAACAAUUUUUGUUUAUUUGUUUUGUUGAUCUUAAAUUAGUUCAGAACUUUUCAAAGCAUAUUUGCUAAAUAUUGCUUGAGAAUUAUCAGAGAUACCUGUGGCAAGUAUAAAUAUAUUUUUAAACUCACCUAGAACACAAGCAACUUUCUAGCAAAAAUAAGUUAAACAAGAUACAAUGAGAUAGAAACUAUUAAACAAAAUUAUAUCCAAAGUAGAUAUUGGCCAAUAGAAUUGUAAAGGACUUUUAUUUAUGUUUGCAUUAACAAUAUUGUCACCUUCUAAUAGUUCUAAGAGCUCAUAAGAAAAAUAAGAGAAAUAUUUUUCCAUUCACUGUGUUCAUAAGUAAUACAAUGAAAUUACCUUAUUAUGAGUAUUAAGAUAAAGCAAAACAAAAACUCUAAAGAGAGCCAAUUAUGUUAUCAUCACCUGUGUAAUUAUCUUUAUGCUAAUUAUCACACAUAAUUAUCACACGUAAUUUUAUUUAUGUAAAACAAUGACCAUUUCCACACAUAGUACAAAAUAUGGUGCAAUCAGAGUAAUAUCUCUUUAAAAUUUUAAACGUAAGCAUUUAGCAAGCUCAAAAAUAUAAAUAAACAUAUAUUAAAUAUCAUAGAAAAAUAAAAUAUUCUCAAAAUCAGUCCUGUUUUGCAAUUGCAGAAGAAAGGGAGUGCCUACGCACAGAUGUUUUAUGAAAAUAGACAUAAAAUUGUAAUUGCUUCCAUUCUUCUUACCUUAAAUAUAGUUGACAAACCACAUUAUAAUUUUAGCUAUAUUUAAAAUUUAUGAGGAGACUAUUUGCUGUCAUUGGAGAGAGUACAAAUUCUUCUAUAUGAAUGAAAAUUCUCAAUGUAUAGCUACUCCUUUAUAAAGCUUUCUUAAAUAUUUGUUAAACAACUACUAAAUGCAAGACGCUGGGAAUAUAUUGCAGAUCAACAUAACUUUCCCUGUCUCCAAUGAGUCUAGACAUUUUGAGUGAUAAAAAAGUGAAACAGGGCUAGUGAAUAAAGCUUGAUUAUAGCAUUCUGCCAUACUAUUACCUAAUUUUGUACCUAUUUCUUGUUCCAUGUAUUUGAAAUGGCAUAAAGCAAUAUAUUUGAAAAUAAUAUUUUGAGUGUAUUUCUGAAUGAUGCCCACCACUUGUAGCUUAUUUGCUAACUGUUUAUCUUUUCCGUGUCCUUAAUAAAUGUGUUUGUGUCCUUUCAGUAAACCCAGCUCAUACCAUACCCAUUCAGGAUAAAUUUCAGUCUUGAUUAUGAUGGUAUGAAGAAACAUUCAUACUGUUGAUAAUUACUUAUAAAUAUUUUCAUUAAAGUAUUAAUGCCUUGUGUAUAAACAUAGUGUAGUUUUAAAAUCCUAUCUGAAU
rnacentral:antisense_RNA from 1 species